AGACCCGAAACCCGGUGAUCUAGCCAUGGGCAGGUUGAAGGUUGGGUAACACUAACUGGAGGACCGAACCGACUAAUGUUGAAAAAUUAGCGGAUGACUUGUGGCUGGGGGUGAAAGGCCAAUCAAACCGGGAGAUAGCUGGUUCUCCCCGAAAGCUAUUUAGGUAGCGCCUCGUGAAUUCAUCUCCGGGGGUAGAGCACUGUUUCGGCAAGGGGGUCAUCCCGACUUACCAACCCGAUGCAAACUGCGAAUACCGGAGAAUGUUAUCACGGGAGACACACGGCGGGUGCUAACGUCCGUCGUGAAGAGGGAAACAACCCAGACCGCCAGCUAAGGUCCCAAAGUCAUGGUUAAGUGG
rnacentral:rRNA from 1 species